ACCUGGCUGGCUCAGUUGAUGGAGCAUGGGACUCAUGAUUUUGGGGUUGUGAGUUCAAGCCCCAUGUUGGGUG
rnacentral:tRNA from 1 species